rnacentral:rRNA from 1 species
GUGGGGAAUAUUGGACAAUGGGGGCAACCCUGAUCCAGCAAUGCCGCGUGUGUGAAGAAGGCCUGCGGGUUGUAAAGCACUUUCGGUGGGGAGGAAAAGCCACGGGUUAAUAACCCGGGGUCUUGACGUAACCCACAUAAGAAGCACCGGCUAACUCCGUGCCAGCAGCCGCGGUAAUACGGAGGGUGCGAGCGUUAAUCGGAAUUACUGGGCGUAAAGCGUGCGUAGGCGGAUACUUGAGUCGGAUGUGAAAGCCCCGGGCUUAACCUGGGAAUUGCAUCCGAUACUGGGUGUCUAGAGUGUGGUAGAGGGGGGUAGAAUUCCUGGUGUAGCGGUGAAAUGCGUAGAUAUCAGGAGGAAUACCGGUGGCGAAGGCGACCCCCUGGACCAACACUGACGCUGAGGUACGAAAGCGUGGGUAGCAAACAGGAUUAGAAACCCGAGUAGUCC